CCUACGGGAGGCUGCAGUGGGGAAUCUUGCGCAAUGGGCGAAAGCCUGACGCAGCAACGCCGCGUGCGGGAAGAAGGCCCUCGGGUUGUAAACCGCUUUCAGCAGGAACGAAAAUGACGGUACUUGCAGAAGAAGGUGCGGCCAACUACGUGCCAGCAGCCGCGGUGACACGUAGGCACCAAGCGUUGUCCGGAUUUAUUGGGCGUAAAGAGCUCGUAGGCGGUUCGGUAAGUCGGGUGUGAAAACUUUGGGCUUAACCCAAAGCCUGCAUCCGAUACUGCUGUGACUAGAGUUCGGUAGGGGAGCGGGGAAUUCCUAGUGUAGCGGUGAAAUGCGCAGAUAUUAGGAGGAACACCGGUGGCGAAGGCGCCGCUCUGGGCCGAUACUGACGCUGAGGAGCGAAAGCGUGGGUAGCAAACAGGAUUAGAUACCCCAGUAGUC
rnacentral:rRNA from 1 species